CUAUUUUCAAGCCACCAGGACCUGAAGGAACCAGAGGGACUUUCUCACCAGCACUGGCAGCGAUACCUGCUCCACCAGCCGGUGCUGGCCCUGGAGGUCAGCGAGCCCAGGGUGACCGGGACAUGGAAGACACAACUGGGAAAUUGGGGAGGCCCAGAGUAGCUGGUCACAUUCACAGCGGAGUCUUGACAUUACUGUGUGGUGGCCAAAAUCUAUUUUGGUCACUGGAGAGGAUUCAGGUUGGUUUUGCUGUUAACGUUUCUCAGAUGCGUGCCUGAUGGUUUAUUUAAAAGGUAAGGGUUACAACAGCCAGGUUUCCCCAGGGUUAAUCUUUCUCUAACCCUGUUCCUGCUCGCUGGGUUUAAAAGCCAUGCUCUCUCCAAGGUUUCAGCAAACCUGUUUUGCUUAGCUGUUGUAUCUGUGUAGCUGUGUGUUGUAUCAAUGAUACCCCCAAAGGAAAUGUUUGUUCAACCUAUCCUCUCAAAAGUCUCCUCUGAGGCAGUUGCCCCAAAGGAGGAUGUUUUCUUUAGCAUUUACUAGUGAGUUAUUUCUAGGUGCAUCAAGGAGUGCUGCUUCCUACAGGUUUGGAGGAGGUUAAGGACAGGCAGAACACAGUUGAGGCUCAGCUCACACCGAUACCUGUAUCGAUAGCGGUGGUUGCAUGUGUGACAUCCAGAGGCUGUCCUCAUCCCCAAAUGCACCGCUAAGACUUGACAAGGGCUGCUGGGCUUGGAAACCUGGAGGAGCCUCCUCCGCACACGGCCAGUCUUCACAGCGCCAUCUAAUCUCCUGUUAAGGACCCGAUACACUUAACUGGUGCAGAGCUACUCCAGGCGCUGCUGCUGUUCGCUUGGCCUUCAUGGACACAAGACCCAGCGGUUUACUUCCAUAAGACAGAAGGCACGCUGCAAUUCCCAGUUCCCAGAAGAUUUAGACCAAACACAAAGAGGGAAGAAAGGAAAAAAAGAAGAAUGAAUACACUAUUAAAAUGUUUACAAUCAGAAGUGUCCUGACUUUGCUGCUUAAUCCGCCUCCUGCUAGCAUGGAGGAGCCAGCCCAGGCCCCACCUUGUGGGAGCUGCAGAACAAAAUGCAAAAUCGUUUAGUGGAACCAGAUUUAGGUUUUUGGCACGGGUGAGGUGUCUUCGUCUUCUCUGAAAAAUUACCGGUUCUGUUAUCGUCAAACUCGGAGCAUAACAGAAGAAGCCGGUAAGUGGAGUGGUUGCAUUGCCAAGAUAAGGUGAGAAGAAAGAUUGGAAACUGCCAGACCUCUGAAAGCCAACGACUGUCUCUGACCGUCCACUUGACCCUUCGUCAUGACUCCCUGAGACAUCUGCCAACAGGACCCUUCCCAAAUAAACCUUGGAAGCAGCAGCAGUGGAACGGAUGAAGUGAACCCCCGGUGCUGCCCGGCCAAUGGUUAGUUCUUCUCCUCCUUCCUCCAAGGAAAUCUCUGUCUGCUUUGCUUUCCCUGCGAGCUGCCUCAGGCCUUACCUCUGCUGUAAGACACGGCUUAAAUACGGAGCCAGCCUGGCGAUUUUCCCCUUACUCAGCUCCUUAGGACUGUGAUGCGCUUUGGGGUCUAUCUGAUUUUGAUGGGAAAGCUGUUGGGGAUGGACUCUGGUGGAGGAAGGCUGGUUAGUGAGGCUGUGAUGAUGGUGUUGGGAAGAGGGUGUUACUUGUAUUCAGCACAGCUGGGGCAUCACGGGCCCCAUAAAUGAGACUCUUCCACAGAGAAAUGCCCAGGAAUGUGCCAGCUCCGCCUGCUUGGUACCUGGGGUGAGAGCCCUUUUCCAGUGGAGCUACACUCUCAGGCGCUACCUUUUUCCAGGCUAAACAAAGAGUAUCUGUGGCUGACUGCCCCCGUUGCCACCAGUACAAGAAGAGAAUCCAGUUCAUCCCUCCUGCCAGCAUCGAGUUGCUCCGGGUUAAUUCUCCUGCUCUCCCUUUACCCGGCAGCAGGCAGUAACCUACAUUGCCUGCUCUGGCAGGCGGCGGCACAGGAGAAGACGUGAGCUCUCCUGGCAGGAGUGCAGGGCCGUUAGCAGGAGGAUAAUUGCAAUGACUGUUCCAGGGUGCAAGUUGUCUGGGCAGGUAGAUCAGGUGUUUACAGCAGUAGAUGAGCCAGACAGAGAAUUAUUGUCUGUACCUAGUGAACGUUAGUAGUUUAAUGCAGCAGCACUUCAAUAGCUGUGUGAUCUGUCCCUCACUGAUGAUCGAGUGAGAGCUGCUGCUGAGCAGUGUGUCUGCUGAGCUGUGACUUGCACAGGUUUCCUAAAAUAGUUGGUGAAAGGAGAUCACAAAAUCUAAGGGCGUGAUGUAAAUGGCACGUAGGCUGCCCGGGUAACUGCUGACAGCUGCCGGUGGUGCCCGAGUUCUGCUGUGACAGCAGCCGUGACGGCUCCUGCUUCUGGGGACGCUGGCUCCAGCUGGAGACAGAUGUCCACUGGGCUGCUGGCAGCCAGCAGCGGGUUUGGGACAGGCUGGUGCACGCUUGGUCUAAUCCAGAAGGUGGCAAUGGCAAUCCAUAGACACUGGCUGGCUUGGAAAUAGGGAUUUCUUGGUGCUAUUGGCCCUUGUAUUAAUAGGGAUAUUUUCAGAUGGCUGCUCCAAAGAGGCAGCGUGGCGGCUGCUUCUCUGCAUGUGCUGACCAGGGAGUCAGCUCGUCUUCCAGGAGCAAUACCAAACAUUACAGAAAAUACACUUUACUGUGAAAUAUGGUCAUUUCCCAGGUAUGUUUUGAUCGAUUUGUAAGGUACGAUCUCCUUGCACAAAUUUGUGCAUUUAAGUUUCCUUCUUUCCCUCCUUCCAUGGCUAGUUUUGCCUAUUCCAUGCUAGACUGUGAUGUUCCCAAGCAGCCCUGUUACGUUCCCAAACAGCCGCUGCUUCACCAGGCAUGUCCCCCCUCACACCCCCUCUGCAACGGGACCCGGGCUGCGGUGGCUGCCUGCUGCCCUCUGGCAACAGCUGCCUGACAGUCUCCUUUUAUCUAGUUACUGAGACAUUUUGGGCUGAAAAAGCAUUCCUUCUGUUAUUACCUUUCUAGUGCAUUCAGUCACCUCUCAGGCUUCUCUCAUGCAAGAAAGUAAUAAAAGCACAUACAGCGAAGCCCGUCAGCAGAGAGCAGAAGCUCCAUGCUCGGUCCCCAGCAGAGGGUAGUGUCAGCCUCUGCGUGUGGGUCAGCAGUCUCAGCCCUGUCUGACUGGCUGUCCUUCCAGGGCUGGCUGUCCUUCCCAGCAGUGCCAAGGGGCACGAGAGGGAAUCACCAGCUCUAGCACAACACUCAACCUCUUUAAUUUAUGCAAGCUCCCUUUUAGCUUUAGGUACAUCCUGAAAGCAGCGUCUAGGUCCUCUCCAUGUAGCCUCUCCUGUUUCCAGGACAUUUCUAUAAUCUGCAACUCACAGCUCGCUAGCGCGUGUGCUGGAUACAUGCUCUUCAUUGAGCCUUUCCUUACAGGUUGGGUUUUUUUCUUUUUUUCUGCUAUCAGAAACACCUCUGCCAUCAGCCGAUGUGAUUGUUGCAGAGGUAGGUGAGAAGCGUACUUGCUUCAACACCUCCCACACAGAGGCUGGCUUUGCAGAUGCAGCGAUUGUUCCUAAGUGUCCAGGGGCAAACCUGACCUCACAAGGCAGAGUAGUACAGAGUCAACCAAAAUUAUCCCUGGCAGGACUCCACUCCUUUCAGUAGCCUUGUGAUUCCUGCCCAGUGGGUGCUGCUGGAGACC